rnacentral:rRNA from 1 species
AUUGAACGCUGGCGGCAGGCCUAACACAUGCAAGUCGAGCGGCUGAAGGGAGCUUGCUCCUUGAUUCAGCGGCCGACGGGCGAGUAAUGCCUAGGAAUCUCCCUGUCAGCGGGGGAUAACGUCCGGACACGGGCGCUCAUACCGCAUACCCCCUGACGGCGUAAGUGGGGGAUCUUCGGACCUUCCGCCCUCAGAUGAGCCAAGGUCGGGUUAGCUAGUUGGUGGGGUAACGGCCUACCAGGGCGACGAUCCGUCACUGGUCAGCGAGGAUGAUCAGCCAAACGGGAACUGAGACACGGUCCGGACUCCUACGGGGGGCAGCAGUGGGAAUUAUUGGCCAAUGGGCGAAGGCCUAACCCAGCCAAGCGGCGUGGGUGAAGAAGGUUUUCGGAUUGUAAAGCACUUUGAGUUGGAAGAAAAGGAAGUAAGUUAAUCCCUGGCUGUUUUAACGUAACCAACAGAAAAAGCACCGCCUACCUUCGU